AUUGAACGCUGGCGGCAUGCUUUACACAUGCAAGUCGAACGGUAACAGGCCUUCGGGUGCUGACGCGUGGCGGACGGGCGAGUAAUGCAUCGGAACGUGCCCAGAGGUGGGGGAUAACGCACCGAAAGCUGUGCUAAUACCGCAUGGGAUCUGAGGAUGAAAGCGGGGGACCAAGCAGCAAUGUUUGGCCUCGCGCCUCUGGAGCGGCCGAUGUCCGAUUAGAUAGUUGGUGGGGUAAAGGCCUACCAAGCCGACGAUCUGUAGCUGGUCUGAGAGGACGACCGGCGACAGUGGGAGAGGGAGAACGCCCAGACUCCUACGGGGGGCAGGAGUCGGGAAUUUUGGACAAUGGGCGCAGGCCUGCUCCAGCAAUGCGGCAAGCGGCGAGAGGGCCCUCCGGUGGUAAACCGCAAGUGUACGGAACGAAAAGGCUCUGGCUAAUACCUAGGACUGAUGACGGUACCGUAGGAAUAAGCACCGGCUAACUACGUG
rnacentral:rRNA from 1 species